rnacentral:rRNA from 1 species
CCGGUGGAGUAACCUUUUAGGAGCUAGCCGUCGAAGAUGGGACAAAUGAUUGGGGUGAAGUCGUAACAAGGUAGCCGUAUCGGAAGGUGCGGCUGGAUCACCUCCUUU